UACGUAGGGGGCGAGCGUUGUCCGGAUUUACUGGGCGUAAAGAGCGCGUAGGCGGAAAUUUAAGCGUGGCCUGAAAGCCCCCGGCUCAACCGGGGAGUGCGGCUGCGAACUGGGUUUCUUGAGUACGAAAGAGGGUCGCGGAAUUCCCGGUGUAGAGGUGAAAUUCGUAGAUAUCGGGAGGAACACCGGUGGCGAAGGCGGCGACCUGGGUCGAUACUGACGCUGAUGCGCGAAAGCGUGGGGAGCAAACAGG
rnacentral:rRNA from 1 species